rnacentral:rRNA from 1 species
UACGAAGGGUGCAAGCGUUACUCGGAAUUACUGGGCGUAAAGCGUGCGUAGGUGGUUUGUUAAGUCUGUUGUGAAAGCCCCGGGCUCAACCUGGGAAUGGCAAUGGAUACUGGCAAGCUAGAGUGCGGUAGAGGGUAGUGGAAUUCCCGGUGUAGCGGUGAAAUGCGUAGAGAUCGGGAGGAACACCAGAGGCGAAGGCGGCGACCUGGACAGGUACUGACACUCAACUACGAAAGCGUGGGGAGCAAACAGG